CUCAGAAACUUAAAGGAAGUUGACGGGGAGCACUACAACGGGUGGAGCCUGCGGUUUAAUUGGAUUCAACGCCGGAAAUCUCACCGGGGCGACAGCAAUAUGAAGGUCAGGCUGAAGACCUUACCCGAUUAGCUGAGAGGUGGUGCAUGGCCGUCGUCAGUUCGUACUGUGAAGCAUCCUGUUAAGUCAGGCAACGAGCGAGACCCACGUCCACAGUUGCCAGCAUACCCUCCGGGGUGAUGGGUACACUGUGGAGACCGCCGCUGCUAAAGCGGAGGAAGGAGUGGGCAACGGUAGGUCAGUAUGCCCCGAAUCUCCCGGGCUACACGCGGGCUACAAUGGUUGGUACAAUGGGCAUCUACCCCGAAAGGGGAAGGAAAUCUCUUAAAGCCAAUCGUAGUUCGGAUUGAGGGCUGCAACUCGCCCUCAUGAAGCUGGAAUCCGUAGUAAUCGCGUUUCAACAGAACGCGGUGAAUACGUCCCUGCUCCUU
rnacentral:rRNA from 1 species